rnacentral:lncRNA from 1 species
UUUAACUCAAAAUUCAACCAAAUUUAAUGAUUUUUCAAUAUUUAUCGGAAUUUAAAUAUUUUUAGGUUAAAAUGUUCAUAAAAUUAAAUUAUAAUAGUGUACAUAAUAUUUUUUUUUUAAAUUAGCUUAAAUUUAUUCUUUAAUAAUCUUAGGUUAAAAAAUUUAAGCCACAAGGAUUGGAACAGAAAAUAUGUCUCUAGGCUAAAAAUUUUAGAUUUUAGCCCAAGGGUUGGAGAUGGUCUUAGUGGGAGCCAAUUUCAAGACUUUGAAAACAAAAAUUUGUGAGAGUAAAUUUUUUAUUUUAUUUUAUAAUUUCAUUGCUUUUCUUUUAUUUUUAAAUUUUAUUAAGUCAACUUGUGGACAUUUUUCACAAUAAUAACUUAUUAUACAUAUUUGUUGCAAAUUUCAACUAAAUGUUUUUUUAACUAACGAUAUUAUUUACACUAAAGAGAAUAGAUUGGGUUUAGCCUCAUAAUGAGCUAGCAAUAAUGUGGUUCAAAUUCGUCUUUGACGAGAAUCGAACCUAAGACUUCUCACUUACAAGUGAAGAAGAAUACUACUAGACUGUAGUACUAAGUAGCUAACCAAAAUACUUAAAUAUGAUAAAUUCUUCUGAUUUUUUUCCUCUACACAAAACUUUAGUUAGGCCAGUUGUCCCUAGUGGGUCUUAGCUGCCUCUGUCCUUGCAACAAAAGAAUAAAAAUGUAGGGCAAAAGACUGUUUACUACCCUCAUGUUUUGUGGUUUUCAACAUUUAGUACAUCAAUUUUUUUUCAUCUCAGAAUCAUACCUAAA